rnacentral:rRNA from 1 species
UACGUAGGGUGCGAGCGUUAAUCGGAAUUACUGGGCGUAAAGCGUGCGCAGGCGGCGGCUCAAGUCAGGUGUGAAAUCCCCGGGCUUAACCUGGGAAUUGCGCUUGAAACUAGGUCGCUAGAGUGUGGCAGAGGGGGGUGGAAUUCCACGUGUAGCAGUGAAAUGCGUAGAGAUGUGGAGGAACACCGAUGGCGAAGGCAGCCCCCUGGGUCAACACUGACGCUCAUGCACGAAAGCGUGGGGAGCAAACAGG